CCGGACCCCAUUCCAGACCCGGAGGCUGACCCCCGCCCAUUCCCCGACCCCGACCCGGAACCGUGAGCCCGACCCGCACCAGGACUGCCACCCCCGCAGAUCCAGCCUGUCUUGGAAGAGACAGACAGAAGGAAGCCAGGAGGAAGGUCAGCCCAGUGCCUGUGUUGACUGUUUACCUUUGGGGGCAGGUGUGUGCUGACAAGAGGAAGCUUUGGUCCUGGAGAAGGUCGGCCUCCUGUUUCUUCUAGAAGUUGCUGUAACUUCUGAGGAGCUUUGAUGGCCAGCUUUGGCUAAUGGAGGCAUUUUGCUCUUGCAGUAGGUUAAACCGCCUACGGAUAACGUAUAGGAUGGGGUGUCCACGUUUGUUUUGAAGUCUCAGGACUCUUAAGACAGUGGUUUCCAGAGAACUUUCCCACCCAGAAUCGCUUGCUUAAAUUUUUGUUUGAAGUACCAUCCUAAGGCUCAGA